GUCAUAUCGAUUUGGAAUUAUUGGAAAGAUGGAUUAUUAGAAAGUCUCAAAGAAACCAUAAAAGACCACAAUCGGCGGAAGUAUCAAAUGGCAGACCACCGAGAAAAACAAGUCUAUCGAGAUGGAAGUUUUGCGUCCAUGCGGACAAAAGGAAAAUGCUCCAAGAAAUGACCAACAAUCUUUAUCUAAAACCCAAUAAGGGUCACGUAUUAUCUGAAUUAUCAGAAACUGUAGCAUCUGCCGUGAAUGCAGACUCUUGGAAUUUAUACCUUUAUGAUAAAAGCUCUCAGGAGAUCUACACCUUCGGGACGGAUGUGAGAAAUCCCACACGAGUGCAAUCGGGUACCACGUUAGCUGCUUUUGUAGCUAAUGCCAAAGAAGCCGUUCGAACGAAAACCGAUAACCAAAAUCCGCUUUUUCCUGAAGGAGUACCAGUUGAUAGAGAGAAUGCUGCUUAUGUACUGUGCCAUCCGAUAUUGCAACCUGACGGAGAACUGACAGGAGUUUUAGAGCUUUACAGGAAGGAAGAAAAUGAAUUUUAUGAAGAAGACGAAGAGAUAGUUAAUAGUUAUUUAGUGUGGGGUGGUAUUGCUUUACAUUAUGCUGAGCUCUACACGAACAUGGUUCGUCAAAGGAAAUUGAAUAACUUCCUGCUGACAGUAGUCAAAUCGAUCUUUCAAGACAUGAUCAGCAUGGAUACCGUCAUCGUUAAGAUAAUGAUGUUCGCUCAGAAACUUGUAAAUGCGGAUAGAGCAUCUUUAUUCUUGGUCGAUGGACGUUCUAAAGAGUUGUAUGCAAGAAUAUUCGAUGUUAGCGGUAGUCAGGAUAGUACCAAUAACAUUAAACCCGAAGCUUCCAAGGAAAUUAGAUUUCCAUUGGGUACAGGUAUAGCCGGGCACGUCGCUUUAACUGGUGAAUCUUUAAACAUUUCUGAUGCUUAUAACGAUAAAAGAUUUAACAGAACCGUGGAUCAACUGACCGGUUACACAACCCGAUCCUUACUUUGUAUGCCCAUUUUCAUUCGUAAUCAUGUUAUCGGCGUCGUUCAGAUGGUUAACAAAGUAAAUGGUUCGUUCAGUAAGAUAGACGAAGAAGCUUUCGCUACUUUUGCAACAUACUGCGGAUUGGCUCUUCAUCACGCUAAAUGUGCUUUCAGUUGUACGACAAAAUACGUCGAUCGGAACAGAAGUAUAAAGUGGCACUAGAGAUUCUCUCUUAUCAUAACACUUGCACAGAAGAGGAAGUGGAUAGAGCCAAACAGACUCUUCCUGCCAACAUACCCGAUAUUUUAUUAGAUUUUGCGUUCUCACCCUAUAACCUUAGCGCUGAUGAAAAGGUGACUUCCACGAUUCAUAUGUUUAGCGACCUUUUUGGUUUGCAUAA
rnacentral:misc_RNA from 1 species